UUUAUUUAUGUUUUUUGUGAUUACCAUUUUCAGAAUAAAGCAAAAUGUAAAAAUAAACAUCAAAGAUGUGGAUGAAUAAAAUUAAUUUUAUUGAUGAUCAAGUUAAAAUGCCCAAACAAUGUUCACCUCUCCCUUAGGCAUAGGAGAAGGAUUUUAAAAUAUAAAAGCAAUUACUUAGAUCGAUGCAAAAUAACAGGAAUAUCAACAGUAGUCCAAAUGUUGCAUGUCUUUCCAUGCGUUACAAAGUU
rnacentral:lncRNA from 1 species